GUUAACUCUGGGGUUUUAUCCCAGUGAAAGGAUGUGGUAGAAGAGCUGCUCUUUCUGAGUGUAUUUACUGUGACAGAGCGGUCAUAAAGAACGAAGGAAAAUCUUGUCUUUGGCACUGAAAGCCUGUUCAAGGAGCUGGGGCUGGAGCUGGGGAGCAGGGUCCAGAAGAGCCCUUUCAGCCCCCAAAGGAGAAUGUUCUUCUCUGAGGACACAGUUCUGGAAAGGACAGGACAGCCUGGACUAAACAUCUUCACUUCCAACAUUGGGGGUGAUUUCCAGCUCUCCCGGUGGUGGUGUUGGUAAAGAGAGAGUUUGAGGAUAUUGAGGAAGAAUGGGUUAUAGAACUGGGAUUUUUUUGUAAUUCGGCUAUUCAGUGACUCAGUUUUUGACUAAACCACAAAUAAAUUUGGGGAGGCUUGAUAAAAGCUCUCUUUUUUCCUUAAUAACAACAACGAGGAAAUUAAGAAACUUUGACAUUUGUGAACACUGCUAUGCUUUGGCGCUGUAUUUUCGUUUUCUUUCUAUCUUUCUUUCUUUGGUGGGGAGGGGAUUCACUUUGACAAAACUCUCUUUUCUUGGCUGGUAGAAGUAGAUAAAGUCAUUAUGAGAGGUUAUUUCCCCAAAGAUUGUAGGUUUCAGGCUAAUGUUGCUGAGUAUCAUAGGCAUUUCAUUUAAAGAAAUAGAUGAAACCAAAGACUGGGUUUUUGCGAACAUUUGAAGAUUAUAUAGAAUAUUUAUUUUUUUAAAUUCUGCUGAAAGCGUUUUGUAUCUAACCUUUCCUUCAUUCCACCCUACACUACCUCCCUUCCUUUUUUUUUUUUUCCUCUUUCUCUCUCCCUUUCUCCCCACACACUGGUUCUUUCAGGAGCUGGGACAUUCAGUUCUACUGAGCUGUUGUUUUUUUCAUUAUUCAUUUGGCUUCUGUAUUUUUCCAUGUACAAGGUACUUUCACUUUUUUAAAAAUUGAGAAAAAAACAAUGUUGUCAGUAUCAAUAAAUCUGCAUCUAGGGAGAGUCACUUCCUAUCAAGGUUUCAAAAGUGCUUCAUGGCUUUCCGAUCUCCUGUCCACGCUAAUCAAGGCUGAUGCUUCACAUACGCAGGAUGCAAGAUGCCAGCUUCUCCACCAGCUCAGUGCCGUGUUCCAUUUUAGGAAUGAGAACCUGGAUUAUUUAUUUAUAACUGUAUAAAGUCCUGUUGUUAAGCUGCUCUCCGUGAAAAGCAGAGAGUGGUUUGAGCCAGUUGGGGAGAGACUGCAGGAUGAUGGCUGGUUUUGUGGGAAGGAGAGAGCAAUUUUAUUUCCUACGAUAAAUUAAAUAGCCUAAUUUGACCCUCCACCAGUAACAUGAUAACCAAUUAAUACAUUAAGGGGUAGGAAUUAUGCCAUCUGGUUUUAGAAAAUGGAAACUAGGAGUCUAGUCCCCUUAAAUACUCUUUGGGGCAUUUUUUUUCCCUUCCUAUGUAGCCCAAACCAAGGGCUUGUAUAGCAAUGAAAAUCAUAAAGGAAAGAUUGAAACUAAAUUGGUUAAUGUGUGUAAUGCUUAUUUAACCCUUAGACAGCAAGCUCUGUAAGGAUGAACUGCCUGACAUAGCUGUGAGAAAUAAUUUUUAAAGUUGUGAUUACCCCCAUUUUGUUUCUCCUGGGUCAAACUAUGGUAGCAUUUUAUUUUUACUCUUGAAAGUCAAUGUAUGUGGCGUGGCUUCUUUUAUCUGUACCACAAGGUGGAUGACAUAUGUUGUAGUCUCUCCUUACAGCUUUUAAAGAAUAGUUUUAGCCAAUCAUAUAAGUUAUUGCUACCUAAUAAUAUAUAAUUUACCAAAUCCCAGCUUUUAGAACACUUUAAAGUCCAAGAGAAAGCUACACGUAUUUAGUAACUAAUGUAUACAGACCUGAUAAUGAUAAUCUUACUGCUUCAGAGUGAUUCUCGAAUUGGAAUUCAACUUCAGUGUUCACUCUGCAAGUGGUUUGGAAUGACCAGAAGUGAAAUAAGAAUUGUAUGUGGGUAAGGAAGGAAAUGGAAUAAAAUUGCUCCUUGACCAUGAAGCAACUAUGUAUCCCUUUAGCACCCAAAUAUUUUGAGGGGAAAAAGCCUCAUGCUCUGGGGACAAUGGACAUGGUUAAAUAUGAUUAAGUAUGAUUUUUUUUUUUUAAUUCUUACAAUUGUGGACCCUGAUGAAGACUGGUUUCUAUUGAAUCCCACUGAUUUAAUUUGGGCCUACUGUAAUUUACUGGGCUGGAGUAGAAACAGCAAUUCGGUGAGGCCAUCAUAAGCUCAUUAGAAACACACUGAGAACACUUAAUGGUGUACAACCCACAGCUUUGUGCAUCCGUAUUAUAGUGAUCCCCUCUUGCCUGGCCUGCUGCUCACUACUCCACGCUAUUGAUAGUACAGUCGUUUUCAAACACCCCAGAAAAUGAGAGGUAUUUUAAAAACAAGAUUGAAGUCACCAAGAAACAUGUAAUGCCAACAUUUCAGGGGUGUGCAGCCCACUGUUAGGAUUUAAAAAAAAAAAAGAAAAGAAAAAAAACCCUCUGUAUUGUUAAUCAUGGUAAGAUUGGUUAGCUGUUAAGUACUGUAUAGCACAACUAAUCAAAAGCUCAACCGUCCUACACAAUGGAACAGAAAUAAUUACUCUCCCUGGGCCUCUAUUGUUUCCCACCUCAGCCUUCCCUGGACUAAUAAAAGGUUUAAUUUUAAAUUGUGUGGAGGAAAUGUCAGGCUCACAAAGAAAUACAAAGUUCAGCUGCUUUGCCCACCAUCAGGUAACACAUCAUAAUGAAUCAGACCUUAAUAGGCUUAAGCGAAGUGAAGCCCAAACACCGGCUGCACCCCCCCAUCCUCCCCAUCAUGCCAUUUUUUUUUCUUUGCCCCUAAUUGAUAGGACCACAUACCAAAAGCCUGGGUUCCAACACCCUUGCCUUUCAGAUGAGAAUGCUCUGAUAAGGUGUGAGAGCUCUGGUUAUGAGAUAUACAUGUCUGUGCUUAGGAUAUCAGCUACGCACGGUGGGUGAUUUAGUUCAGACGAGGGACGCCUAUUCUGAUGCUUCACAGGAAGAAUGGGGGAGGGGAGGGGCACAGGAGAGAACGAUCUUCGAUCUUCUCGCUUAAAGGCUUCCUGCAUUCAAAUGUGUGGGUUUGUUGUUUUUUUUGUUUUUUUCACUUUUACUAUCUUCAAACAAACUCAGAUAAAUUUUCAAUCCAAAACUUGUUUUUGAAGUUUCAGUUUACUAAGAAGAAAGUACUACCAUACGAAUAUAUGGAGAAGGACAAGUCUGCUGAAAUCUUCUGAAUUGAGGAUUUUGCAAACAUAAUUAGACUCAGAUUUCGAAUAGAAACAACAAAAAGAAAAAGAUACAUGAGGAACGUAUAUACGUUAAUCAGCCAUACACAGUACUCUAAAAUAGCUGAAGAGCAAUGUUAUGCUCUACCAUGCAAAGAGCCUGGACUGUUCCUGUCACUUACCCACUCUAGGCCACUAAAACGAAGGUGAUAACACCUGCCUGGCUGGUUCUGAGAAAGAGAGAAGAUGGAUAAUGUGUGUGAAGGACCUGUCACAAUCCCAGGUACACAGUAAAAAGAAGCAAGAAUGAAGAAUUAAGCAGUUAAACAAUGACUAGCUCUCCACCGCCAACAGCUCUAUUAGCAAUCCUGCAGGCACAUCCCUCGAGCAAGAUCACACCUGAAGGGUCGACCAGUCUGCAUACAAUGGAGAAGGAUGCUGACCCCAAUCUCCAGCCUCAAAGAUUCUCUGAGGUUCUCCCCCGCCAUCAUUUUUCCCUUUAAAAAUUGUCACGACUGAGCAGAAUCUUCUGAGUUGGUCUCUGGACACAAGUCUAUUGUCUCCUCAGAUUGCCCGCUUUUCAGAGGAAAACACCUCUCCUUUCUACUGACCUCACCUCUUGAAUCGCUGCCUUCUGAGGGGUGAGCAGCCGAACCCAGAUUAAAACAAGUAAGAAUGAAGACUGAAGUAGUUAAAGAAUAACCAGCUCUCUACCCUCAACAGCUCCCUUAGCAAUCCCGCAGGCUGGCAGGCUGAUCACCUGGGCAAGAUCCCGUUGGAAGACAGACGGAGCCAGCCAGUCUGCACGCAAUGGAGGAUGAUGCAGAAUCCAACCUCCUGCCUCACUGAUUCACUGAGAUUCUUUCCUUUUUUCCCUUCAAAAGGUGUCAGGGCUGAACAGAAUCUCUAUAGCUGGUCUCAGGACGUAAGUCCAUCUUCUCCCCAGAUUGCUGACUUUUCUUCUAAGUCAAGUAUCUUUCCUUUCUCCCUAUAUUUGCCUCUUGAUUAUUGGCUUUGGAGUGUGGUAAUAUAAUCAGGUUUAGAUUGGGUUAUGAAAGUAGGACCUUCCUGAUAGGAUCAGUGCCCUUAGAGGAAGAGGGAGAGGGAUCUCUCUCCAGUCACAAGCAAGGCCAGUGAGCACACAGAGGUAGGGUGGACACCUGCAAUCUGGAAGCCAAUCUGCUGGCACUAUCUUCCAGCAUCCAGAACUGUGAGAAAUAAGGUCUGCUGUUGAAGCCCCCUGUGUGUAGUAUUUUAUUAUAGCAGCCUGAACUGACUGAGAUACUUGGUAACACAUGAAUGCUAGCUACUUUGAUCAUUUAUGAAAUUUGGAGAUUAACAGCUGUUUUAUCUUAUUCAGUUGACCCUGAAAUAUAUUUUCUUUAUAUUAAAAUAUAUUUUCUUUAUAUUAAAACAAUUUAUAUUAACAUAUCAUAUUGUUCUUUGGAAAUUGAGGUAUCUUAACAGUGAAAAUAUCAUUAAUCUUCAAUAGGCUAGAUCUGAGGACCUCCAAGUUCAGUUCCAUAUUAUGGUUCCUUCUACAACUGUGUAUGCAGCAAGCAUCCCACAGAAUGAUAAACCCAUGUGAAAAUAUCACAUAAUGCAAGAACAAUGGAUGCUUUUGUCUUGACUGAAUUAGCAGAUUGCAUUCUCUAGUAGCUGACUCAUAUGAUAUUUUUGCAAUGUAAGCAGCAGAAAGUUUAAUAAGCUCCUUCCUGACAGGGUAGUUUUUCCAAUACAUGUGACACAUUCAGGUAUUUGAAUAUCAACAAAUUUAAACUUAAAUCAUAUCUUUUUUUAAAAAAUAACCUUAAGUUAUUCAGUUUUUGUAGAUAGAAGUUUAAGGCUUCAUUUUCAUUCACUCUGUUAUAUUACAGAAUGAUGUUAUUACUUAGCAAGAAGCAUAGAAACUCUUUCAGGAAAUUCAGAAAUUAUAGAGAAUACUCUAGUAUACCUGAUUUUUUUUUUUUUUUUGGCCAUCUCACAGCAUGAAGUUUUUUAAAAUGGUGGAGUUGGGGCUACUGAAUUACAACUAAAGAUAAAUCUUAAGAACAAAUAAAUAGGAUCACCGUAUUUUGGGCUGUGAGUGAUUUUGUGUCAAAGUAGCAUAAAUUGAUUUUGUUUUGUGUUGUCACCAUGGCCGACACUAGUUGAAUGGUCAGGUGAUGGCAAAGUUGAUUUGUCAUUUCUUCUUGAAACUAGCCAACAUGAGAGUGGGACUCUCACGAUGGGAUUUGUGCCCUUAUAAGAAGAGGAAGUUAGAGAGCUCUCUUUCCUUCCACAAGCCAGCCCAGAUGGGCUAUUUGUCCCUUUUGAUGCCUGUUGGACCCAUUUUCCUAUAACUUUGUUUUGGAAAACUGUGAUCUUUGUCCCAGAAUAUUGAGAAAGAAAUUAUUGAGCCAAUUGUAUUGGAAAAUUGCAGAAAACAUUUAAAAUAUCUUUAUGUCUGGGAGAAAACUAUUUUAAUGCUACAGAUAUAAAACUAUAUAGUAAACUAUAUAAUUUUAGUUAUAUGGAUAUAAAACUAUAUAGUUACUGGUGCAUGUUUUUAGUAGAGUCAAAAGAUAAAUCAAGUAACUAUGGUUUCAGGUGAAUAAGAGAAACAAGCUAACAAGAGAUUUUUGCUAUCCUAAUCCACAUAUGAUGCUUUUAUGCCAUUUAUGAAUUGCAAAAAAGGCACCCCGUCUGGGAAGAUGAAUUACAAGAAGGCAGCUCUUCUUCCUGGCCGAUGUCGCUUGCCAAACCAAGCUGGGAUGAAUAGAAUCUCCUCUUCACCCUGACACAGGGACAUGUGUGUAAGGCACAAAAUGCCAACCACAUACAGAGGCCUGGCUAAGCUUUUAUCAAAGGAGAUGCAAAAUUGUUUGCGGCUAGCAUUGCCUAGCUUUGAGUUAGGUUUUGACAUAAUUUGAGUCUGUUCAUUAGAUAAUAGGUGACAUUAUUCUGAUUUAUUAUGAAAAAAGUAUAGAAAUGAUAAGGUGAAGAUAGAUUAAAAAAAAAAAAAAACAUGUCUUGGGUACUCUGAAUAUAGCAGACCCUGAGCUAAAGCAUCUGGAUUUGAAGUUGAAGAGUAAAUCAGAACUCAAGCAUUUAUUUUCUAGUUUAAAAAAAUUGAAAAGAAAAAUGAUUCCUCUUAAAUAAUAACCAUGAAGAUUAAGUAAUAUAGACAAAAAUAUGUAAAUCCUGAAGUGUUUUAAGAAAUAUGAGUCAUUCUAUAUUUUUAAAAGUUUAGGGGAUAGAAAAGAGAAAAAUGGAUUUUGUUGGUUUAUUUUUUCUUUAAUGCAUCUCAAGAAACUAGAAGAAUGCUUGAUACAUAAUAGGUACUCAGUAAAUGUUAGUUCAAUGAAUGAAUGAAGAUAUAUGAAAAAUUUUGAAUAAUGAACAAAAACUAUUAAUAGUGGUUACCUCUGAAUAUCAGUCUAAUAAACUUUUCCAGCUUCUCAUCUUUCUAUACAAUCAAUCCUGAAUACAUAUUAUACCCACUCAUAUGCACAUAUACACAUGUACACACAUGCUUUCAGAGAUUCAUCAUAUGUGUAUUCAUGUAUUUUAAAAUUUAAAUUUUAGUAAAAAUUUAAAAAGUCUUCCAAUGGAAACCAAUAUAUUUUUUGUUGAAUACAUGAAUUAAUAAAAGAUUUACAAAUAAAAAAAUUAGGAACCUUUAUUUUUAAUAUAUAUAAAUAGUAAAAGCAAUAUCCAUAAAAAUUAGGAACCUUUAUUUUUAAUAUAUAUAAAUAGCAAAAGCAAUAUCCACAAAAAUUAGGAACCUUUAUUUUUAAUAUAUAUAAAUAGUAAAAGCAAUAUCCACAAAAAUAAUGAAUUAUCUAUUCUGAAAACAAGAGAAUAAAUGGUUCAAUACGUUUGCUUUGAAAAGUGAUACAGCGUAAGCUUAGUUAUUUUAUUUACUGUCAAAAACUAUGAUUCUUUAGAGCAGAUUAAGAACUCUGUUUUUUUAACAUGGUUUUUUAAAAAAUCCCCAAUUAUCAACUUGUUUUAUGGACCUAAAUUCUUUAUGUUUCCAUUUACUUUAAAGUGAAAAAGAAAUAUAAGCUCAUCUAUGUCCCUUUCAUCAAAACACUAAUCUGAAUACUUAGUAUUUUCAGGUUGAAAAUGAUAUGAGUACUUUAAAAAUGAAUUUCAACAGAAUAAUGAUCAGUCUGUGUGUAUAAUAAUAUUGAAAGGAUUUUUUCCUCCUCCAUCUGUACUUUAUAGAUCUCGACCUUAUAAGUCAUAGUCUUUUGAUUCAAUCAACAGAAAAUAGUGCUUAAUUAAUUAACAUUGGGUUUCUUGAUUUCUGGCUACCAUCUGCAUUCAGCCCCAGCUAAAGAGAGUAUGCUGCAAUCUGAAUUGUGAAUAAAUAGUACAAAAUACUUACUCAUUUUGUGUGUUUGAGGAUACUUGUUGAUGUAUAUUACUUAUUGACUUUACUGGCUUCAAGGGAGUAUUUUUUCAGUCUCAUUUUUAUUUUAUGUUUUCAUGUAUCCAUUCACAUUUAAACCCAAUCUGUACAGGCUGUGUCCCUAGAUUUCUUAUUGUGCACACCAUAUGCAACAUAGUUGAGCAAAUUUUUCACACCAGAACUGAAUUAUAAGCAUGUAAAAUUUUUGUGAACUGGGCUGUAAAAUAUCAGAACCAUACCUUCUAUCCAAGUUGACAGCUGAUAUCUGAUCUGAAAAUAGUGUAUUUUCCUUCAAAUGUUGGUAUCCUGUCACUUUGCAUUGCCUUGAUACAAACAGUUAUACAAGAGGAAAAAAUUACUGUGAAAAAUAAAAUCUUUUAUAAAUACAAUAACUAAAAAAUAAAACAAACAAAAACCAAAACUCUUCCCAUGUUUUUAAUACCUUGUUUUGCUUCCCUACAUGAGUGUGAUAAUCUGUUGCAAAUGUUUAUAAAAUGAUGU